AUUGCACGCUGGCGGCAGGCCUAACACAUGCAAGUCGAACGAGUGGCGGACGGGUGAGUAAUGUCUGGGAAACUGCCUGAUGGAGUGGGAUAACUACUGGAAACGGUAGCUAAUACCGCAUACUAUCAGAUUUGCCCAGAUGGGAUUAGCUAGUUGGUGGGGUAACGGCUCACCAAGGCGACGAUCCCUAGCUGGUCUGAGAGGAUGACCAGCGAAACUGGAACUGAGACACGGUCCAGAAGACUACGGGAGGAAGCAGGGGGGAAUAUGGGACAAUGGGGGAAAGCCUGAUGCAGCCAUGCAGCGUGUAUGAAGAAGGCCUUGGGGUGGUAAAGUACUUUCAGCGGGGAGGCGUUACCCGGAGAAGAAGCACCGGCUAACUACGGGCCAGCAGCCGCGGUAAUUC
rnacentral:rRNA from 1 species